UGGGGAAUUUUGGACAAUGGGCGAAAGCCUGAUCCAGCAAUGCCGCGUGUGUGAAGAAGGCCUUCGGGUUGUAAAGCACUUUUGUCCGGAAAGAAAUGGCUCUGGUUAAUACCUGGGGUCGAUGACGGUACCGGAAGAAUAAGGACCGGCUAACUACGUGCCAGCAGCCGCGGUAAUACGUAGGGUCCAAGCGUUAAUCGGAAUUACUGGGCGUAAAGCGUGCGCAGGCGGUUGUGCAAGACCGAUGUGAAAUCCCGAGCUUAACUUGGGAAUUGCAUUGGUGACUGCACGGCUAGAGUGUGUCAGAGGGGGGUAGAAUUCCACGUGUAGCAGUGAAAUGCGUAGAGAUGUGGAGGAAUACCGAUGGCGAAGGCAGCCCCCUGGGAUAACACUGACGCUCAUGCACGAAAGCGUGGGGAGCAAACAGGAUUAGAUACCCUGGUAGUCCACGCCCUAAACGAUGUCAACUAGUUGUUGGGGAUUCAUUUCCUUAGUAACGUAGCUAACGCGUGAAGUUGACCGCCUGGGGAGUACGGUCGCAAG
rnacentral:rRNA from 1 species